ACUGCAGGGGUCUCAUAUUGUAAAAAAUUUUUAUUUAUAUCAAUUUUUAUUUUAACUGUCACUGUCCUAAUUUAUUUAACUCAUUUUUAUUAUCUAACUAAUAUCUUUUGUUCUCUUCAUGCAAUCUGUUUAUUUCUCAACGGCGGAGAUUAUUUGUCUGCUUUAAUCCUCGUUUGAAUAUUAACUAUAUAUAUUCUCUAUUUUUAAUGUUUCGUAUAUCCACGGUUAACGCUCAGUCACUUGUAAGCAGCGCUGUCAAAAACACCGAAUUACAGCAUUCAAAAAUGUACUUGUAUAGUGACUGCAAGUUGCCACAAAAUUUUUUAUCCAUGGCUUCGGUUGGUCGUGACUUGGUGUUAUAGAGAAAGCUUGCCAUCUCCUCUAUCAUACACGGUGGAAAAGCUACACCACGGCUUGUGCAAAUCAUGAGUGACUCAGCUGAAUACCGGAACGACGAUGGCCGAACAAUUAAUUGUUACAAUUAUAUUAUGCGGAUAUUGUAUACCUUAUUCUAAUGAAGCCAUCGAUCAAAAUAUGUCACUCAUACCUAUUGAUUAAAAAAGUAAUAGAUACUACAUGCCUUUUUCUUUUUUUAAAAUAAUUACCAUAUUUUAUCUGUAUUCUUGUAACAAUGCUAAUAAAAGUACGCUACCAUUACAUAA